UUUGUAUGGUUUCUGUCUUCCUGUAGAUGCUCAUUAUGGGCAGCAGAAGAAAAAGAAGCAGUAGAGACAUCAAACACCUACCUGACCAUGGUAUGUCUCCACCAAAGGACACAGAAAUACUGUGCCCCCCCCCCACCUGUCUGUCUAGGAGGCACACAUCUCCCAUGCAGUCUUAGGACAGAGAAGGAAAACACUAACUCCAGCCACAAAGUAACACCCCAUUAAGACAUGAGAAACAACCAGGUCCACCGCUGCUACGGUGCUGACAUUCUUCCUAGAGGUAAUUGCUGCUGCCUGUAUGUCCCCAGCACCACUCCAGUUAGAUACUCGGGUCUCCAUUACACAGGAGAUUUUGCUGUUCCUUUGAACGAGAGGGAGAAAGUUGGAAAUGACUUGGAAUAAACUUUAUUGAGGUGGCAAUGAC
rnacentral:lncRNA from 1 species